AAGUGCUUAGUUGUUGGAAAUUGAGAUGUUUUAUCGCUGUAAUUGAGGUGUAUAAAUGUUGUUAAUUGAUAUGUUUAAGUGCUGCAAAUUUAAGUGUUUAAAUGCUGUAAAUUGACGUGUUUAAGUGCUGCAAAUUGAAGUGUUUAAGUGCUGCAAAUUGAAGUGCUUAGUUGCUGGAAAUUGAGAUGUUUUAUCGUUGUAAUUGAGGUGUAUAAAUGUUGUUAAUUGAUAUGUUUAAGUGCUGCAAAUUUAAGUGUUUAAAUGCUGUAAAUUGAAGUGUUUAAGUGCUGCAAAUUGAAGUGUUUAGUUGCUGAAAAUUGAGAUGUUUUAUCGCUGUAAUUGAUGUGUAUGAAUGUUGUUAAUUGAUAUGUUAAAGUGCUGCAAAUUGAAGUGUUUAAAUUUAACUUGUUUUAGUUUAUGUGCUAUGUGAUGAUUGUGUUUUAAAAUUUAACUUGUUUUAGUUCCUUACAUUCUUAUAGGAUUCACACUCAAGGAGCAAGAAACAUCUCAGCAACUCAUUGGGAUCGAGCAGUCAAAAUUCAGAAUCAAGUGACACACAAGAGCUAGAUUUGGAGCUUAAACUGUCACUGUAAUCAGUAAUUUUUUUGCUACUUUAAAUGCAUGCUCAUGGAACUACAUUUUAUGCUUUCCUAGAAUUGUAAGUUCAAAUAAGUUGAUAUGAACUAGUUUCAAUUUUUUUUUUUUAAAUUUCAAAGGAAUGUUAUGUAAUCAAAGGUAAUUUGACUUGCUACAUGAGAUAUAGUGAAAAACAUUUAUCUUCUUGUUCAUGAAUUUUCAUUUUAAUACGUCUU
rnacentral:lncRNA from 1 species